rnacentral:rRNA from 1 species
GAUGAACGCUGGCGGCGUGCUUAACACAUGCAAGUCGAACGGAAAGGCUCCUGCUUGCAGGGGCACUCGAGUGGCGAACGGGUGAGUAACACGUGGGUGAUCUGCCCUGCACUUCGGGAUAAGCCUGGGAAACUGGGUCUAAUACCGGAUAGGACCAUCGUUUAGUGUCGGUGGUGGAAAGUUUUUUCGGUGUGGGAUGAGCUCGCGGCCUAUCAGCUUGUUGGUGGGGUAAUGGCCUACCAAGGCGUCGACGGGUAGCCGGCCUGAGAGGGUGUACGGCCACACUGGGACUGAGUUACGGCCCAGACUCCUACGGGAGGCAGCAGUGGGGAAUAUUGCACGAUGGGCGCAAGCCUGAUGCAGCGACGCCGCGUGGGGGAUGACGGCCUUCGGGUUGUAAGCUCCUUUCGCCAGGGACGAAGCGAAAGUGACGGUACCUGGAGAAGAAGCACCGGCUAACUACGUG